UCCGCUAAGGAGAGGAACAAGCAUUGGGUAAGGGGGGAAAGAAGCAGUGGAGGGACAAGGAAAAGAACAAGGCAGACAGGGAGAAAAGAGAACAGUGAGGGAUAGGGAGGUGGAGGUUAAAUGAAUAGAGCAGAGAAUGACAAACGAGUAGUGGAGGGGGGGAAUGAGCAGAGAGGGAGUAAAAGGAGCAGGGGAGGAACUGGAAGGUUAAAUGAAUAGAGCAGAGAGAAAGAAAGGAGCAGUGCGGGGAGAUGGAGAAAAACGAACACAGCAGAGAGCGAAAGAAAGGAGCAGUGGAGGGAGGGGGAAAUGAGCAGAGAGGUAGUGAAAUGAGCAGGGGAGUAAGGGGUUAAACAAAUAGAGCAGAGAGUGGCAGAAACGGAGCAGCGGAGGGAGGGGGAAACAAACAGAGAGGGAGAGAAAGGAGCAGGGGAGGGAGGGGGAUGUGAGCUGAGAGUGCCAGAAAGGAGCAGUGGAGGGAGUAAAACAAACACAGCAGAGAGUGAAAGAAAUGAGUAGUGGAGGGAGGGGGAAACAAACAGAGAGAGUCAGUGAAAUGAGCAGGGGAAGAAGGGGUUAAGUGAAUAGAGCAGAGAGAAAGAAAAGGAGCAGUGGGGGAGAGGGAGUAAAAGGAACAGGGGAGGAGGGGUUAAACAAAUAGAGCAGAGAGAGACAGAAACGGAGCAGUGGAGGGAUUAAAACGAACACAGCUGAGAGUGAAAGAAACGAGUAGUGGAGGGAGAGGGAAACAAACAGAGGGAGACAAAUGAGCAGGGGAGGAGGGGGUUAAACAAAUCGAGCAGAGACUAAAAGAAACCAGCAGAAGGGAAACAAGCAGUAAGAAUGAUCCAGUCUGUAGAAGGAAUGCAGGGACGGACUGAGCGUGACAUCAUGAACAGCGCCGCCCACCUCUGCACGCCCAGUCCUCCCUCGCUGGAUGCAGCUCUAUUACACAGGCAGAAACGGCCGUCGGCUCCAGAGCCAGAUACCAGGGAUUCCAUGACAGGAAACUUAGCAAAGGGGCGGGCUGAACACAGUUUUCAUGCUUAUAUGGACAUAUUUGACCCAAAAGGUGCUGUCCAACGUCUCCCGAACCCUGUGUGGGGCCGUCCUAUAGCACAUAGUUCAACUGUAUCUCACUGCUGGCGGGUAUCCUGAGAAGAGAGUGGAAGGAAACAACAAAGUUAUUAUAUUGUUACUAUGUAUAAAUGUAUCCAGUGAAUAAAGAAACAUGUGAAUUC